AUUGAACGCUGGCGGCAGGCCUAACACAUGCAAGUCGAGCGGAGCGGCGGACGGGUGAGUAAUGCCAAUGAAUCUGCCUGGUAGUGGGGGAUAACGUCCGGAAACGGGCGCUAAUACUGCAUACUAUCAGAUGAGCCUAUGUCGGAUUGGCUAUUUGGGGGGGAAAAGGCCUACCAGGGCGACGAUCCGUAACUGGUCUGAGAGGAUGAUAAGUCACACUGGAACUGAGACACGGUCCAAACUCCUACGGGGGGCAGCAGUGGGGAAUUUUGGACAAUGGGCGAAAGCCUGAUCCAGCCAUGCCGCGUGUGUGAAGAAGGUCUUCGGAUUGUAAAGCACUUUAAGUUGGGAGGCGUUACCAACAGAAUAAGCACCGGCUAACUUCGUGCCAGAGCCGCGGUAAUAC
rnacentral:rRNA from 1 species